GAUUAACGCUGGCGGCGUGCCUAACACAUGCAAGUCGAACGAUGAAACUUUAAUGAACCCCUCGGGGAGAUUUCAAGCGGCUUAGUGGCGAACGGGUGAUUAACGCGUGAUUAACCUGCCUUAAACACGGGGAUAGCCUUUGGAUACGAAGAAAUAUACCCUACAAAACAAUACAAGCACAUGCAAUUAUUGUCAAAGUGAUAGCGGCGUAAGAUGGACUUGCGUCUGAUUAGCUAGUUGGUGGGAUAAAGGCCCACCAAGGCAACGAUCAGUAGCCGGCUUGGGGGCGUGGACGAGAACAUUGGGAGAGGGACACGGCCCAGACUCCUAAGGAAGGGAGCAGGGGUGAAUUAUGCACACUGCGGGAGUCCCGGAGGCAGCGGCGCCGCGAGAUUUAGAAGUCCGGCAAGAUGUAAAGAUCUUUUGUAUAGGAAGAAAAUGACGGUACUAAACGAAUAAGGUCCGGCUAAUUACGUG
rnacentral:rRNA from 1 species